GCGAACGCUGGCGGCGUGCUUAACACAUGCAAGUCGAGUGCGCGGGUAGCAAUACUGGCGCACGGCGCACGGGUGCGUAACACGUGGGCAACCUGCCCUGCAAUGGGGGAUAACCCGCCGAAAGGCGGGCUAAUACCGCAUGACAUCACGAUGGCUUCGGCCGUUGUGAUCAAAGGCCGCAAGGCCGUUGGAGGAGGGGCCCGCGCCCGAUUAGCUAGUUGGUGAGGUAACGGCUCACCAAGGCUUUGAUCGGUAGCCGGUCUGAGAGGAUGGCCGGCCACACUGGAACUGAGACACGGUCCAGACUCCUACGGGAGGCAGCAGUGGGGAAUCUUGCGCAAUGGGCGAAAGCCUGACGCAGCGACGCCGCGUGGGGGAUGAAGCUUCUCGGAGUGUAGACCCCUUUCGACCCGGAAGAAUGUCCGCAAGGAUUGACGGUACGGGUAUAAGAAGCCCCGGCUAACUACGUGCCAGCAGCCGCGGUAAGACGUAGGGGGCCCAGCGUUGCUCGGAAUUACUGGGCGUAAGGGUUCGUAGGCGGUGUGGCAAGUCGGAAGUGAAAUCUCCAGGCUCAACUUGGAGGCUGCUCCCGAAACUGCCGCGCUAGAGUGCGAGAGAGGCCAGUGGAAUUGCAGGUGUAGCGGUGAAAUGCGUAGAUAUCUGCAGGAACACCCGUGGCGAAGGCGGCUGGCUGGAUCGCAACUGACGCUGAGGAACGAAAGCUAGGGGAGCAAACAGGAUUAGAUACCCUGGUAGUCCUAGCCCUAAACGAUCAGGACUUGGGGUGCAUCCCGACGGGGUGCGUCCCGUAGCUAACGCGUUAAGUCCUGCGCCUGGGGAGUACGGUCGCAAGACUGAAACUCAAAGGAAUUGACGGGGGCCCGCACAAGCGGUGGAACAUGUGGUUCAAUUCGACGCAACGCGAAGAACCUUACCUGGGCUUGAACUGCCACUGACCAGCGGUGGAAACAUCGCCUUCCCGCAAGGGACAGUGGUAGAGGUGCUGCAUGGCUGUCGUCAGCUCGUGCCGUGAGGUGUUGGGUUAAGUCCCGCAACGAGCGCAACCCCUACCUCUAGUUGCCAUCAGUAAGUGGGGCACUCUUAAGAGGACUGCUCCGUGAUCAACCGGAGAGGAAGGUGGGGGAUGACGUCAAGUCCGCACGGCCUUAUGUCCAGGGCUACACACGUGCUACAAUGCACGGUACAGAUGUUGCGAAGCCGUGAGGUGGAGCCAAUCGGCAUAAACCGUGCUCAGUUCGGAUUGAGUCUGCAACUCGACUGCCAUGAAGUUGGAAUCGCUAGUAAUCGGCGUAUCAGCAAUGCCGCGUGAAUACGUUCCCGGGCCUUGUACACACCGCCCGUCACAUCACGGAAGUCGGAUUGUCCUCGAAGUCGCAUGCUAACCCGCAAGGGAAGCAGCGUCCCAAGGUAUGGUCGGUGACUGGGGUG
rnacentral:rRNA from 1 species